rnacentral:ribozyme from 1 species
AGAAGAAAAAAAAUUAAGAGAGAGGAUCUAGCUCUUAACAUAGCUCUCAAUAAAGCGUGUCACAUAUCCCCCCCCCCCUUUUUUUUUUUUUUUUUUUUUUU